AGGUCGUGUUGUGGACAAUUGUGCAAUAAGUCCUUGUAUCUCUCUCAUGCCUCAUAUAAUGAUUCUCCCUCAAAUUGGGCGAAGGUAGUGAUAUCAUUCCAUAAUUC